rnacentral:rRNA from 1 species
AUGAACGCUAGCUACAGGCUUAACACAUGCAAGUCGAGGGGAAACGACAUCGAAAGCUUGCUUUUGAUGGGCGUCGACCGGCGCACGGGUGAGUAACGCGUAUCCAACCUGCCCAUCACUUGGGGAUAACCUUGCGAAAGUAAGACUAAUACCCAAUGAUAUCUCUAGAAGACAUCUGAAAGAGAUUAAAGAUUUAUCGGUGAUGGAUGGGGAUGCGUCUGAUUAGCUUGUUGGCGGGGUAACGGCCCACCAAGGCAACGAUCAGUAGGGGUUCUGAGAGGAAGGUCCCCCACAUUGGAACUGAGACACGGUCCAAACUCCUACGGGAGGAAGCAGUGAGGAAUAUUGGUCAAUGGGCGAGAGCCUGAACCAGCCAAGUAGCGUGCAGGAAGACGGCCCUAUGGGUUGUAAACUGCUUUUAUAAGGGAAUAAAGUGAGAGUCGUGACUCUUUUUGUAUGUACCUUAUGAAUAAGGACCGGCUAAUUCCGUG